AAAGCAGAGUUCUGAUGAGCUGUUUUGAAUCCUGGACCCAGUUGUAUGUGAAGCAAGACUGGCCCUUGGACUUUUGAGCUCCUGAAUCAAUUUCUGAGGACAUUUGCAAUCUAUGCAAGAGGAUACGGUUUGAACUCACUCUGAUGUGACUUACUGUGUGACCAUGAAUAAGGCACCUUUUUGCAAAGAAGUUGAAAACUUAAAAGGUUUCA